rnacentral:rRNA from 1 species
UGGGGAAUAUUGCACAAUGGGCGCAAGCCUGAUGCAGCCAUGCCGCGUGUGUGAAGAAGGCCUUCGGGUUGUAAAGCACUUUCAGCGAGGAGGAAGGGUGGUGUGUUAAUAGCACAUUGCAUUGACGUUACUCGCAGAAGAAGCACCGGCUAACUCCGUGCCAGCAGCCGCGGUAAUACGGAGGGUGCAAGCGUUAAUCGGAAUUACUGGGCGUAAAGCGCACGCAGGCGGUUUGUUAAGUCAGAUGUGAAAUCCCCGCGCUUAACGUGGGAACUGCAUUUGAAACUGGCAAGCUAGAGUCUUGUAGAGGGGGGUAGAAUUCCAGGUGUAGCGGUGAAAUGCGUAGAGAUCUGGAGGAAUACCGGUGGCGAAGGCGGCCCCCUGGACAAAGACUGACGCUCAGGUGCGAAAGCGUGGGGAGCAAACA